rnacentral:snoRNA from 1 species
AAACUAUGGUUUGGGCACCUUCGUAACAAAGCCUUGAAUCUCUCCCAUGUUUCACAGGAAGGUUCAUCAGACCCUAGGGAAAAAGUAGCAAUGGCGGAUUUCGCACU